rnacentral:rRNA from 1 species
GAUGAACGCUAGCGGCAGGCCUAACACAUGCAAGUCGAGGGGUAACAGAAGAGAGCUUGCUUUCUUGCUGACGACCGGCGCACGGGUGCGUAACGCGUAUGCAACCUACCCUGUACUGGAGGAUAGCCCGGAGAAAUUCGGAUUAAUACUCCAUAGUAUUGCAAUUUCGCAUGUUAUUGCAAUUAAAGGUUACGGUACAGGAUGGGCAUGCGUCCUAUUAGCUAGAUGGUAAGGUAACGGCUUACCAUGGCAACGAUAGGUAGGGGGCCUGAGAGGGUGAUCCCCCACACUGGUACUGAGACACGGACCAGACUCCUACGGGAGGCAGCAGUGAGGAAUAUUGGUCAAUGGAGGCAACUCUGAACCAGCCAUGCCGCGUGCAGGAAGAAUGUCCUAUGGAUUGUAAACUGCUUUUAUUUGGGAAUAAACUCCUCUACGUGUAGAGGCCUGAAGGUACCAAAUGAAUAAGCACCGGCUAACUCCGUGCCAGCCGCCGCAGUAACAC